CAGCCCCGAGCAAAUGGCGGCCUCCAGGGGGUCCCCGCCGGCCGUUGGGGCCGUUAGGGCCGUUGGGGCCGUUAGGGUCGUUGGGCUCGCGAGCCCCCGCGGCCUCGAUACCGCCCGCGGGGCUGAAGGCGGGGCCGAGGGCGGGCUCUGCCUCCCCCGCCGGCGGGGGUGGAGGCGGAGCGGGGCCGGGAGGCAGCGGCCGCCCCGCUCCCCCGCCAGCGACGGCACACCGGGGCCGGGCCGUAGGUGUGAGGCGGCCCCCGCCAGGCCUGCCCGCCGCCGGCCCCGCUCCUCAGGGACCGGCGAGCAGGCUCUGGCGGCGAGCGGGGCCGGGCGGCGGGGAGCUGCCAGCUGGGCCAUGCCGUGUCGGGCGCUGCUCCUCUCCUCCUCCCCCUUCCUCCUUCUCCUCCUCCUCCUCGGCUGGGUCCGGGCCUCGGGCGCAGAAUCUUCUCCCCAUUUACCAGCACCAAAGGAUGUGGUGGUUUAUUCCUAUAACUUUCGUAGUUUGCUGAGGUGGUCUCCUGUUGAAGUGGAUAGAGGCUUGGUGUUAUAUACAGUCCAUUUUAAAACCAGGGGGGCCUUUAACCACUGGGAUGAGGUGAUGAACUGCACCCGUAUCACCCAGACUGAGUGCAGGUUGCCCUGGUCACUCAAGCAGCGGCGCUGGACUAUAUUUUUGCGCGUGAGGGCUGAGCUGGGGCAAGUGACUUCUGACUGGGUGGAAACAGACCCGUUUGUGGCAGAGAGAAACACUACUAUAGGCCCCCCUAAAGUGAACAGCGUGAAUGCAAGCUCCAACUCACUUCUCAUUAGGGUCACACCCCCUUUUGGAUUCGAAAUGGGUGACUUUCUUGAGUAUCGUGUGUUCUACUGGGAGAACGAAACACGUACUACUAAAGAGACAAAGACGAGCAAUACACUAUUCAAAAUUGGAAAUCUAAAGGAAUCGACACUUUAUUGUUUUAGAAUUCAAGUAGAAUUGAGGCAGUUACUUGGACUGCAAAGUGCCCCAGAGUGUCACAGAACUACAAUCAGUGAGGCAACCAGAGAUCAAUAUGUUAUACUAUUUCUGUUGGCGUUACUUUUUGUAGUGCUGGUAAUAGUUGGUUUGUUUCUUCUGUGGAAAUACCGCAAAGCACUUAAAUACUGGUCUCAGCCACCUCUAGAAAUCCCACCACAUUUCGAAGAGUACCUGAAGGACCCUAGCGUGCCCGGGUUAGAUGCGUUGGUCAAUUAUGUCGAGGACGAUCCCCAGGAUUCUUUAUCAUCUGUUCUGUUUUGUGGUGAAGAAAGCCACACCUGUGGCAGCAGUUUGGACGUUCAAGGUCAUUCACGCAGCAUCUCCAGUGGAAAUGAAGUAACUUAAGCAGCGCCCCAGUGAGAGUGCCUGUGCCAGCCAGGUCUGUGCAGAAACUCCUGCCCACCAGCAGCACCGCGCAGCUGCCAGGUGACAGACAACGGGCUCUGGACAAUACGUGGCUACCGACAAAUCCCGAGUGAGAUGUUGCUUCCUGAGACUAGAGUGGCCCCUGAGCCUGUGUUUACGUGGCCUCUGCUGUGCUGCAGCUGCAGCUGUGUUCUGCCAAAGAGACUGAGAAGGUGGAAUGUGAAAGGGAAAUGAACACUAAAUUGCCGGAAGAAAGACAGAUGGUUAUAAAACGGUUAUAUUUACACCAUCAUGUUUCCCACCCCAAAUCGAAAUAAAGCUUUGAGGAAUAAUGGCACUUUAUGGUAGGAUGUAGUACAACCUUGGAUUUUUCAGUGCGUGAUUGCAUCAUGAAUACUUUUAUAGCAUCUUUUGCUUUGUUGCCUUAUGGGUGAAGUCUGUGUUAGCACUCAACAUGUAAUAUCCACCCCAGUAUGCUUUUUCCGAAUAAUUUUAAGUACACACGGUCUUCUGGGGCAGCUUCUUCCCUCCAGAUCAAAGUGGAAGUCUAAAAAAGAAAUUUUAUAGGCCUUUAUUUUCUUCAGCAUGAACCUGUGCAAAGAAAGGCCUCCUAAUGGCUGCCUCCCAACACAUUCAUGAAAAGCAUUAAUCUUCUUCUCCUGCAGUGAGAAAGUCGUUCUUCACAGCAAAACAAACUUUGAAGUAAUUUUGCUCAGAAUUUGUAUAAUAUGUAUCAGGAAUUAUCAGACACUAAAAUCUCUUGUUGAAUACCAGAUUAGUCCUGCAAGUGGAAAGUUGACUGAGGGUUGUGGUUUUUAGUCCCUUAAAGCAGAAGACGGCAAGUUGAAGUCUCACAUCGCAGUCCUGCGGGGUCCAGAAGGUAUCUAAUAAGCACAAAGAACCAAUGAACCACUUCUGUACUAAAAAGCCAACAAACAGAAGGCAAAGAAGGGCACAGUCACACUAAAUCAUAAGGGAAUGAAGAGGGAGGGAAAUGAGAAAUACUGACACUGAGAACAACAAUAACAAGUGAUGAUAAGUACAACAAGCUAGACACCUGGGCAAUUAACUAACUACUAAUACAGCAUGUUAAACUAAGUAAAAAAAAAAAAAA